rnacentral:misc_RNA from 1 species
CUAGGCGAACAGCUGUUUGAAGAAAGUGACAGCUGUCAAAGGCCGGUUUGUUUACAAAAAUAAGCAAUUGCCGAUUUUUUAUAACUUAUUAAAUUAAUAGGAUUACUAUAAUAAAAGUACUAAAAUAAUAACUUUGUAAAAAACUUAAAAUGGUGUGCGCACUAGGCAUCGAAGGAAGUGCGAAUAAAAUUGGUGUUGGCAUAAUACGUGACGGAGAAGUGUUGGCUAAUGUGCGCCGUACCUAUGUGACACCACCGGGCGAAGGAUUCUUGCCAAAAGAAACAGCACAGCACCAUAGAGAAGUUAUUCUCCAACUUAUCAAAAGCGCGAUGAAAGAAGCUAGCCUGGAACCAAAAGAGUUGGAUGUUAUUUGCUAUACCAAAGGUCCCGGCAUGGCGCCGCCACUAUUGAUUGGCGCAAUUGUGGCACGAACACUUUCGUUAUUGUGGGAAAAGCCACUUUUAGGUGUUAACCAUUGCAUUGGUCACAUAGAAAUGGGCCGUCUAAUAACAAGCGCGCAAAAUCCUAUUGUGCUCUACGUGAGUGGCGGCAAUACACAAGUAAUUGCUUACUCUAAUAAACGAUAUCGCAUUUUUGGUGAAACCAUAGAUAUCGCCGUGGGCAAUUGUUUAGACCGGUUUGCGCGCAUAAUUAAACUUUCGAACGACCCCAGUCCGGGUUAUAAUAUAGAGCAGUUAGCAAAGAAGGGCAAAAUUUUUAUAAAACUGCCGUACGUUGUCAAAGGUAUGGAUGUGAGCUUUUCGGGUAUUCUUUCACAAAUUGAAGAGAUCGCCGAUCCCAGCAAAAGGCGGAAUAAGCGUAAAAAAGCAGAAGAAGCGGCGGAGGUACCAGAAUAUAGUAACGAGGAUCUUUGUUACUCGCUGCAAGAGACAAUAUUUGCAAUGUUGGUGGAAAUUACCGAACGUGCAAUGGCGCAUUGCGGUUCUAAUGAGGUACUCAUUGUGGGUGGCGUGGGCUGCAAUGAGCGCCUACAAGAAAUGAUGCGCAUCAUGUGUGAAGAACGUGGCGGUAAACUAUUUGCUACGGAUGAGCGCUAUUGCAUCGAUAAUGGUCUGAUGAUCGCACAUGCAGGCGCUGAAAUGUUUCGUUCUGGUACACAAAUGCCUUUCGAGGAAUCAUUUGUAACGCAACGCUUUCGUACAGAUGAAGUGCUAGUCACUUGGCGCGAUGACUAAUGAAUAGGCAAAAUAUGACGCCUCAUAUUGAGUUUGGUUUAAACUGCAAACAACAAACAACGAUUUGUUCUGCAUUCUUCAAAAAGUAACUCUUCAUUUCCAUUGGAAACAGUCGCUUGCCCUCGAUUAUGUAAACCUCACCAUUUUUCUCCUUUUCUAAAGCGCUAAGUAUGCAAC